rnacentral:rRNA from 1 species
GAUCCUGGCUCAGGAUGAACGCUAGCUACAGGCUUAACACAUGCAAGUCGCAGGGUAACGUGAGGGAAGCUUGCUUCCCUUGACGACGACUGGCGCACGGGUGAGUAACGCGUAUCCAACCUUCCCAUGACCACGGGAUAACCCGUUGAAAGACGGACUAAUACCGUAUGACGUCGUUUGCUGACAUCAAAUAACGAUUAAAGGUUUGGCGGUGAUGGAUGGGGAUGCGUCUGAUUAGCUUGUUGGCGGGG